UCAAGUGAAGAAGCGCAUACGGUGGAUGCCUUGGCAGUCAGAGGCGAUGAAAGACGUGGUAGCCUGCGAAAAGCUUCGGGGAGUCGGCAAACAGACUGUGAUCCGGAGAUGUCUGAAUGGGGGAACCCAGCCAUCAUAAGAUGGUUAUCUUACACUGAAUACAUAGGUGUAAGAGGCGAACCAGGGGAACUGAAACAUCUAAGUACCCUGAGGAAAAGAAAUCAACCGAGAUUCCCUUAGUAGUGGCGAGCGAACGGGGACCAGCCCUUAAGUUGUAUUGAGAUUAGCGGAACGCUCUGGAAAGGGCGGCCAUAGUGGGUGAUAGCCCUGUACGCGAAAAUCCCUUUGCAAUGAAAUCGAGUAGGACGGGGCACGAGAAACCUUGUCUGAAUAUGGGGGGACCAUCCUCCAAGGCUAAAUACUACUGACUGACCGAUAGUGAACCAGUACCGUGAGGGAAAGGCGAAAAGAACCGCGGAGAGCGGAGUGAAAUAGAUCCUGAAACCGUAUGCGUACAAGCAGUGGGAGCCCACUUUGUUGGGUGACUGCGUACCUUUUGUAUAAUGGGUCAGCGACUUAUUUUCAGUGGCGAGCUUAACCGAAUAGGGGAGGCGUAGCGAAAGCGAGUCUUAAUAGGGCGUCUAGUCGCUGGGAAUAGACCCGAAACCGGGCGAUCUAUCCAUGGGCAGGUUGAAGGUUGGGUAACACUAACUGGAGGACCGAACCGACUACCGUUGAAAAGUUAGCGGAUGACCUGUGGAUCGGAGUGAAAGGCUAAUCAAGCUCGGAGAUAGCUGGUUCUCCUCGAAAGCUAUUUAGGUAGCGCCUCAUGUAUCACUGUAGGGGGUAGAGCACUGUUUCGGCUAGGGGGUCAUCCCGACUUACCAAACCGAUGCAAACUCCGAAUACCUACAAGUGCCGAGCAUGGGAGACACACGGCGGGUGCUAACGUCCGUCGUGAAAAGGGAAACAACCCAGACCGUCAGCUAAGGUCCCAAAGUCAUGGUUAAGUGGGAAACGAUGUGGGAAGGCUUAGACAGCUAGGAGGUUGGCUUAGAAGCAGCCACCCUUUAAAGAAAGCGUAAUAGCUCACUAGUCGAGUCGGCCUGCGCGGAAGAUGUAACGGGGCUCAAACCAUGCACCGAAGCUACGGGUAUCAUCUUUUGAUGAUGCGGUAGAGGAGCGUUCUGUAAGCCUGUGAAGGUGAGUUGAGAAGCUUGCUGGAGGUAUCAGAAGUGCGAAUGCUGACAUGAGUAACGACAAUGGGUGUGAAAAACACCCACGCCGAAAGACCAAGGUUUCCUGCGCAACGUUAAUCGACGCAGGGUUAGUCGGUCCCUAAGGCGAGGCUGAAAAGCGUAGUCGAUGGAAAACAGGUUAAUAUUCCUGUACUUCUGGUUAUUGCGAUGGAGGGACGGAGAAGGCUAGGCCAGCCUGGCGUUGGUAGUCCAGGUUUAAGGUGGUAGGCUGAGAUCUUAGGUAAAUCCGGGAUCUUAAGGCCGAGAGCUGAUGACGAGUGUUCUUUUAGAACAUGAAGUGGUUGAUGCCAUGCUUCCAAGAAAAGCUUCUAAGCUUCAGGUAACCAGGAACCGUACCCCAAACCGACACAGGUGGUUGGGUAGAGAAUACCAAGGCGCUUGAGAGAACUCGGGUGAAGGAACUAGGCAAAAUGGCACCGUAACUUCGGGAGAAGGUGCGCCGGUGAGGGUGAAGCAUUUACUGCGUAAGCCCACGCCGGUCGAAGAUACCAGGCCGCUGCGACUGUUUAUUAAAAACACAGCACUCUGCAAACACGAAAGUGGACGUAUAGGGUGUGACGCCUGCCCGGUGCCGGAAGGUUAAUUGAUGGGGUUAGCGCAAGCGAAGCUCUUGAUCGAAGCCCCGGUAAACGGCGGCCGUAACUAUAACGGUCCUAAGGUAGCGAAAUUCCUUGUCGGGUAAGUUCCGACCUGCACGAAUGGCGUAACGAUGGCGGCGCUGUCUCCACCCGAGACUCAGUGAAAUUGAAAUCGCUGUGAAGAUGCAGUGUAUCCGCGGCUAGACGGAAAGACCCCGUGAACCUUUACUAUAGCUUUGCACUGGACUUUGAAUUUGCUUGUGUAGGAUAGGUGGGAGGCUUUGAAGCGUGGACGCCAGUCUGCGUGGAGCCAACCUUGAAAUACCACCCUGGCAACUUUGAGGUUCUAACUCAGGUCCGUUAUCCGGAUCGAGGACAGUGUAUGGUGGGUAGUUUGACUGGGGCGGUCUCCUCCUAAAGAGUAACGGAGGAGUACGAAGGUGCGCUCAGACCGGUCGGAAAUCGGUCGUAGAGUAUAAAGGCAAAAGCGCGCUUGACUGCGAGACAGACACGUCGAGCAGGUACGAAAGUAGGUCUUAGUGAUCCGGUGGUUCUGUAUGGAAGGGCCAUCGCUCAACGGAUAAAAGGUACUCCGGGGAUAACAGGCUGAUACCGCCCAAGAGUUCAUAUCGACGGCGGUGUUUGGCACCUCGAUGUCGGCUCAUCACAUCCUGGGGCUGAAGCCGGUCCCAAGGGUAUGGCUGUUCGCCAUUUAAAGUGGUACGCGAGCUGGGUUUAGAACGUCGUGAGACAGUUCGGUCCCUAUCUGCCGUGGACGUUUGAGAUUUGAGAGGGGCUGCUCCUAGUACGAGAGGACCGGAGUGGACGAACCUCUGGUGUUCCGGUUGUCACGCCAGUGGCAUUGCCGGGUAGCUAUGUUCGGAAAAGAUAACCGCUGAAAGCAUCUAAGCGGGAAACUUGCCUCAAGAUGAGAUCUCACUGGAACCUUGAGUUCCCU
rnacentral:rRNA from 1 species